rnacentral:misc_RNA from 1 species
ACGACAAACGGAGAGGGGGGGGGGUUGGGGGGGGGGCGGGCUGGCGCGGAGGAGGAGAAGAGUAAGGUGAGGCAGGGUAACGAACAAAGCUAUUCACCAUCCUUCCAUACUUGCCGGAGGAGUUGAUACCUAAUGACCUUCCGGCCUCCAUUACUUUUUGGCAUCCAAUUUGAUGCUGUUGGAGCAGAAGUCCUGGAAUUGUCAAUAAUGAUCGAAGUCAUUGGUGAAUCCAACUCAUCAAGUUCAUCAUCACUAGUGUAAGAUUUUCUGAGCACGGUUGAUCCACUCCUCUGCAGUGUUUGAUUUUCCACCUCUCCUAUAACGUUUGUUAGUGAAGCUGCUGGUGGCGGAGAAUAGAUUGUAGGAGCGGCCAUGCAUGGAAAGCUUGAGAUGGAUUCAGUCACAUCCUCAGCAAGGUCCUCAGAGUCCAGGGACUCGAAGAUUGCCUCUGGGAGAGGGUCUGGGUUGAAUUCAUCUGGGACAAAAUUGUUAAGCACUCUCUCAAUGAUCCGCGCACCAAAUAUAGGACAUACUUCUUUUCUUGUUGACCUAUCCACAAGCAUUUCAAAUGGAAGCAUCAUGAGAUCACUCAAUGCAUUAAGGAGGUAGAAAGCCUUGAAUGAAGUCUCACAUUCUGUCUUGUUGCUGUCAAGUUCAUUCGCAUCUUCCAGAGAGUCAUUAUCAUCAAUUCCAAAUAAAUCUGUGAGCCAUCUGGACCAGGUUCCUACAGCAUUUUUCAGUUGUGCGCCAGCCCCAAAGCUUGAUUUUCCAGCUGGUAUUGGGAGGACCUUUGGAUCACUAAUGGGGUCAGAAACAGGAUCUGUUGGCAUCUCGUCUGCUGAUUCACGAAGAAUGGCAUUGAACAUGGCCACAUCUAAUCUAUGCACCAGCUGCUCCAUUACCAAUCUAGCGAGCACAGGCAAGCAACCGCAUUCAUGUCCCCCAGAUCGAAUUGGGCACAGCCUUUCACACGCAUCCUUAAAAGCCUUUUUCCAUAGAUCAAUAGCAAAAUUCCCCUGUUCUUGGUCACCCAAUCCAUACCUCCUAGCAUAGGUCUUCUUUGAAUUUGAGCCCUUCACUGCUGUGGGCUGCAUAUGAGGAGUCAGAGUCUGCCACCAAACCGACUCAACAAUUCGUGAGAAGAUCCAAGCUUCAACUCUUUCCAAUGCUACUAUAAAUGUUUGAGAUUCCUCCCACUCAUCAGAACCUUUUGAUUUAUCAAUUUUCUCAUCUUCAUAAAGAGAGGCCUCACAACUGCCCUUUUGACCACCAUUUUCAAUGAUAGACAGUGCUGAUACAAGUUGCAAUUUCUCAACAACCUGACUUACAAUUGCUCUCAGCACAAUUGAAUUUGACAACCAGAAAGUUAACCUUGGAACAUCAUUUCCACAAGCUUUAGAAGCCAAAACUAAUCCUGAGAUGAUAGCUCUAGCUGCACUUGCCCUCUUAGCCUGUGAAAUUGCCUUGCAAGUAUGAAGAUAGAACCUUGAAAGGCGCCUGGCUGGAGCAUGAACUUUGUUUGCAGAACUGCCAUGCUCAGCAACAACUGAGUAAAGGCCAACCUCAAGAACAGCAGCUUCCAUCAGCUCUUCCUUGAGCAUUUCAACUUUGGAUUCCAAUUCAACUUUUAAUCCAGAAAAGCUGCUUUCUGUUUGUUCUCUUUCACUUAGCGCACAACUCUCAUCAACCUUGUGAAUGUCUCCAGGAGCAUCAAUUUCCCUAGCCUUUUCAAUAAGCUGAACCUUGUUUGUAGAGUUUCCAUGCCCGACAACAGCUGGGUAAAGGCCAACCUCUUCAGCAGCAGCUUCACUUAACUCUUUCUCAAGCAUUUCAACUUCGGAUUUCAAUUGGACUUUGUUGUCAGAAUGGUGGUUUGUUGUCUUUUGUUUUUCACUUGAUAUGUAAUUUAAAUCACCUUUGUGAAAAUUUUCAGGAACAUCAUUUUUCUUUGCAUUCUUCAUAAACUCGAUAUUGUUGUAGGGUUCAUCACUUUCAGCUACAUGAAACUGUUGUUGAACGGACUUCAGACGCUUUAAUUUAUCUCUACGUGUAUUUCCCUGCACUGCAUUUGACAUCCUGUUGGAUGCAAGGGUAUUACUCCUUAAAUUGACUUGUCUUUUCAUAGGUUCUUGAGGUAACCUACCAACAGAUUGUUCCUCCUCUAAACUAUGAUUCUUUAACACCAUCAGAUCCUCUUCCUGUCUACUAUCUUCGUUCUUUUUGAGUUUAUCUUCCAUAAGACCAACUUGUAAAUUACUAGUUUUAGCUACCUCUAGUCCAAUUUUUUCACCAUUUGAACCAUUUUUGCCAGCCUCUUGAUUGGUUUGAGACACUUGAAGAUCUACGUGGUUUGAGCUUUUACCCACCUGAAAAUAAUUAUCAGACAACAUAAUUUUGGCCCCAAGAUCAUUUAUGCAAUUAUGCAAAUUAGAUGAUAAGCCUGUUGAUGAUGGAGUGGAUGAAGCUCCAUUCAGAUGUUUGAAAGCUUCGGCUAUGGUAUUCAAAUCUGGGUUUGAAUUUGCAACACCAGAGGGUAGAGUGGUUUCCCCAUUAACCUUCCUUGUAUCAUUGGUUGCUGAUCCAGUCAAAUUCUUUUCAUCUUGAGCUGGUGAACCUUUACCAGACUCAAAAGCAAAAGAGGAAAUAGUCCUUGAUGAAUGUGAGGAAAUAUUAUCAUCAACAUCAUCAUCAGUGAAUGAGGCAAUCUCACUUUCCUCAUCAUUCCCUUCAUUUGUCACUUCUGAAACAGAUUCACUUCCAUCCUUGUCCAGUGACACUUCUUUAGACGAGCUAGAGUUAUCUCUAUCAAAUGGUUGGAUAUUAACAUAAAGAACUGGCUGCGCUGUACUCUUAGAACUCUUCUUGAAGUUGAUAGGAGUGCUUAUGGUUAUGGUAUCUUUGAUGAUUCCAUAAUCUGCAAGGUUUAUAACUGCUGAUCCCAAUAGUUGACCUUUCAUUGCCCUGCCUUUUCGAACUUCAUACAAGCUCAACUCCAAGUAGUUCUUCUGGAAACUGUCGCGAGCAGUGCCUUUUCUGGAUGUUUCCCUGAAUAAUGUAACUGGAAGCCUGAAAGUCUCGCUAAAUUCAACUUUUCCAUCUCCAAUAUUGGAAGUGGAAGACCCAGAACUCUGAUCACCAUUAUCCCAUUGAAGCAAUACAGAUUCUACAGAUUUCAGAGACUGAGAUGGGGUCCAAGGCUUGAUUUCUUGUAUGUGAAUGAGGUAAUCAACCAACACUGAAGUGCCUUUUCGGUUCUUUGAUCUUAGACCAAGAACCAUUUUUAUGAGAAUCCUGGUUUCGCUUUUGUUGGGUCUGAUCAAUCAAUUAGAAUGGUGCUAAACUGAUUGAAAGUUUAAAAACUAAAAGUCAAUACAGAAAACACUGCAUAAAUUGUGACGCAAGACACAAAUUUAAUUUGAAAUAAGGAUGUAAAUAGGGAGAGAGAAGGUGGGCAGGCCUUCGGAUACAAAUUAUAAUAGCAAUAUUUCUGCGUAUGACUUAGCCCAUUCAUGCUUUGCAUGAGCUUAAAUAAAAAAAAAAUUAAGUAAAUCAAACCUUAGACCAUAAAUAUUUUAUAUCAUUGAAGAGGACCUCCACAAAUGAAACCACUGAACAACCAUAACUAUUUUGUGACUGUAUAGAGAGAGAGAGAGAGAGAGA